GACGAACGCUGGCGGCGUGCUUAACACAUGCAAGUCGAACGGAAAGGCCCUGCUUUUGUGGGGUGCUCGAGUGGCGAACGGGUGAGUAACACGUGAGUAACCUGCCCUUGACUUUGGGAUAACUUCAGGAAACUGGGGCUAAUACCGGAUAGGAGCUCCUGCUGCAUGGUGGGGGUUGGAAAGUUUCGGCGGUUGGGGAUGGACUCGCGGCUUAUCAGCUUGUUGGUGGGGUAGUGGCUUACCAAGGCUUUGACGGGUAGCCGGCCUGAGAGGGUGACCGGGAACAUUGGGACUGAGAUACGGCCCAGACUCGUACGGGAGGCAGCAGUGGGGAAUAUUGCACAAUGGGCGGAAGCCUGAGGCAGCAACGCCGCGUGCGGGAUGACGGCCUUCGGGUUGUAAACCGCUUUCGCCUGUGACGAAGCGUGAGUGACGGUAAUGAGUAAAGAAGCACCGGCUAACUACGUG
rnacentral:rRNA from 1 species